rnacentral:rRNA from 1 species
CAUGCAAGUCGAGGGGUAGAAUAAGCUUGCUUUUUUGAGACCGGCGCACGGCUGAGUAACGCGUAUGCCACCUACCUUAUACUGGGGAAUAGCCGGAAUAAAUUCGGAUUAAUGCUCCAUGGUUUAUCGAUAUGGCAUCGUGUUGAUACUAAGGAUUUAUCGGUAUAAGAUGGGCAUGCGUAUCAUUAGCUAGAUGGUGUGGUAACGGCAUACCAAGGCAACGAUGAUUACGGGUCCUGAGAGGCAGAUCCCCCACACUGGUACUGAGACACGGACCAGACUCAUACGGUGGGCAGCAGUGAGGAAUAUUGGUCCAUGGAGGCAACUCUGAACCAGCCAUGCCGCGUGCACGAUGACGGUCCUAUGGAUUGUAAACUGCUUUUGUACAGGAACAAACCUCCCUACGACUAGGGACUUGACGGUUCUGUAAGAAUAAAGAUCGGCUAACUCCGUGCCAGCAUCCGCGGCAAGACGGAGGACCCCAGCGUUAUCCGGAAUUAUUGGGAUUAAAGGGCUCGUAUGCGGGUUUGUAAGUCAGUGCUGGAAUUUCCUAGCUGAACUAGGACACUGCCAUUGAUACUGCGAAGCUUGAAUAAUAUGCAAGUAACUCGAAUAUGUAGUGUAGCGGCGAAAUCCUUAGAUAUGACGUGGACUACCAAUUGCUGAUCGCAGGUUACUACGUAUUUAUUGAUGCUGAUGAACGAAAGCGAGGGGAGCGAACACCAUCACAUACCCUGUUACUUCGCGUAGUUAACGAUGUAUACUACCUGCUCGGUUUUCGGCACUGAUUCGCUAAUCUAAAGUGAUAAGUAUCCCAGGCCGGGGUACGAUUCGCAA